rnacentral:rRNA from 1 species
AGUGAACGCUGGCGGUAGGCCUAACACAUGCAAGUCGAACGGCAGCACAGUAAGAGCUUGCUCUUACGGGUGGCGAGUGGCGGACGGGUGAGGAAUACAUCGGAAUCUACUUUUUCGUGGGGGAUAAUGUAGGGAAACUUACGCUAAUACCGCAUACGACCUACGGGUGAAAGCAGGGGAUCUUCGGACCUUGCGCGAUUGAAUGAGCCGAUGUCGGAUUAGCUAGUUGGCGGGGUAAAGGCCCACCAAGGCGACGAUCCGUAGCUGGUCUGAGAGGAUGAUCAGCCACACUGGAACUGAGACACGGUCCAGACUCCUACGGGAGGCAGCAGUGGGGAAUAUUGGACAAAGGGCGCAAGCCUGAUCCGGCCAUACCGCGUGGGUGAAGAAGGCCUUCGGGUUGUAAAGCCCUUUUGUUGGGAAAGAAAAGCAGCAGGUUAAUACCCCGCUGUUCUGACGGUACCCAAAGAAUAAGCACCGGCUAACUUCGUG